GACCAAGAGGCCUGGUCAGGCUCCCGACUUCGGACACGAAUGUGAGGAAAAUCCUGCUGCUUUUCCGGAGAUGUGCUCAUCAGAGGGGAGCCGGGUCCCUGUCACAGGAAUUUCUCCCUCACCCACCUGUCCGGCCCUUAGCAGAUCCGCCCGGAGCCAGUUGGGUGAUCCAGGAGAGAAAGGGUGGAGAGGCAGAGCCAGAGAAACAUGAAAAGGUAAAUGUCACCACAUCCAGCUCACCACAUUUUGAAAUUAAAUCUGGAUUGAACAGACGCAGAA